UAUUGGACAAUGGGGGAAACCCUGAUCCAGCGACGCCGCGUGAGUGAAGAAGUAUUUCGGUAUGUAAAGCUCUGUCGGAAGGGAAGAAAGAAAUGACGGUACCUGACGAAGAAGACCCGGCUAACUACGUGCCAGCCGCCGCGGUAAUACGUAGGGGGGCAAGCGUUAUCCGGAAUUACUGGGUGUAAAGGGAGCGUAGACGGUAAUGUAAGUCUUGAGUGAAAGGCGGGGGCCCAACCCCCGGACUGCUCUGGAAACUAUGUUACUGGAGUGCAGGAGAGGUAAGCGGAAUUCCUAGUGUAGCGGUGAAAUGCGUAGAUAUUAGGAGGAACACCAGUGGCGAAGGCGGCUUACUGGACUGUAACUGACGUUGAGGCUCGAAAGCGUGGGGAGCAAACAG
rnacentral:rRNA from 1 species